ACCGGUCCUUCGGGACCGGGGAAAGCGGCGAACGGGUGAGUAACACGUGAGUAAUCCACCCUCGGCACUGGGAUAGCCCGGGGAAACCCGGAUUAAUACCGGAUGGCCCAACAGCUCUUCGGGGCGGUUGGAAAAGGUAGCUUUGGCCUCCGGCCGAGGACGAGCUCGCGGCGGAUUAGCUUGUUGGUGGGGUAACGGCCUACCAAGGCGACGAUCCGUAGCUGGUCUGAGAGGACGAUCAGCCACACUGGGACUGAGACACGGCCCAGACUCCUACGGGAGGCAGCAGUGGGGAAUCUUGCGCAAUGGGCGAAAGCCUGACGCAGCGACGCCGCGUGAGGGAAGAAGGCUUUCGGG
rnacentral:rRNA from 1 species